GGAGAGGUGACCGAGCUGGUCGAUGGUACUGGUCUUGAAAACCAGCGACCCUUUACGGGGUCCGUGGGUUCGAAUCCCACCCUCUCCGCCA
rnacentral:tRNA from 1 species